UACAGGGGGUGCAAACGUUGCUCGGAAUCAUUGGGCGUAAAGCGCACGUAGGCGGUUCGUUAUGUCGGAUGUGAAAGCCCUUGGCUUAACCGAGGAAGUGCAUCCGAAACUGGCGAGCUAGAGUACGAAAGAGGAUCGCGGAAUUCCCGGUGUAGAGGUGAAAUUCGUAGAUAUCGGGAGGAACACCCGUAGCGAAGGCGGCACUCUGGGCCGGAACUGACGCUGAGGAGCGAAAGCGUGGGGAGCAAACAGG
rnacentral:rRNA from 1 species